rnacentral:rRNA from 1 species
UACGUAGGGGGCAAGCGUUGUCCGGAAUCAUUGGGCGUAAAGAGUGUGUAGGCGGCCAGAUAAGUCCGCUGUGAAAUCUCGAGGCUCAACUUCGAGCUGUCGGUGGAAACUGUCUGGCUAGAGUCCGGAAGAGGAGAAUGGAAUUCCUGGUGUAGCGGUGAAAUGCGCAGAUAUCAGGAAGAACACCCGUGGCGAAGGCGGUUCUCUGGGACGGUACUGACGCUGAGACGCGAAAGCGUGGGGAGCGAACAGG